CAGUAGCCGCGGGAAUACGUAGGGUGCAAGCGUUAAUCGGAAUUACUGGGCGUAAAGCGUGCGCAGGCGGUUAUAUAAGACAGAUGUGAAAUCCCCGGGCUCAACCUGGGAACUGCAUUUGUGACUGUAUAGCUAGAGUACGGCAGAGGGGGAUGGAAUUCCGCGUGUAGCAGUGAAAUGCGUAGAUAUGCGGAGGAACACCGAUGGCGAAGGCAAUCCCCUGGGCCUGUACUGACGCUCAUGCACGAAAGCGUGGGGAGCAAACAGGAUUAGAGACCCGCGUAGUCCCUGUCUCUUAUAU
rnacentral:rRNA from 1 species